rnacentral:lncRNA from 1 species
UAGAAUAUUCAUAAAGAAGUAAUGAACUUUUGUUACUAUUUAAUGUCUUACUACAUAUCAGGUACUGCUGGGCACAAAAAAUACAUCAGUGAUCAAAAUAGGCUGCUUCCUGUAUGGAGUGUACAUUCUACUGUGGUGGAGAAAAACAACACAUAUUUAAAAAAUCACUCCCGUCAUUCCCAUGUGUUGUUGGAGGGACCCAAUGGGAGACAAUUGAAUCAUAUGAGAGGUAUUUCCCAUACUGUUCUCAUAGUAGUGAAUAAGUUUCAUGUGAUCUGAUGAUUUUAUAAGGAGUUUCCCCUUUCCCUUGACUCUCAGUUUUUUUUCUGUUGCCAUGUAAGAUAUGCCUUUCUCCUUCUGCCAUGAUUGUGAGGCCUCCCCAGCCACGUGGAACUGUGAGUCCAUUAAACCUCUUUUCCUUAUAAAUUACCCAGACUCAGAUAUGUUUUUAUCAGCAGUAUGAAAUGGACUAACAUAGGAUGAAAAUGGAAUUAUUGAUAUUUUUAUAUUCUUGGCUUUCUAAGGGUGUUGAUAGCCCCAUUGGGUAACUACAAAAAAAUGUACAAAAAAAAAGUCAAUUAAAAAUAGCAAAUUCCCAUCCAAAAGUAAAGAGAUAUAGAGAAGAUUUUGCUUUAUUUCAACAAUUAGUAUAACAAGGGCCUUGAACUUGCUAUUUUGCUAUACCUUCUUCUCUUUCUCAUCUAUCUUUGUAAAUAAGUUAAAAGUUGUGUGUCAGAGAGAUAUGUUGGUAUCCUAGGUUUUAGGGCAGAUGCUGAGAUUUAUCUCAGUGCGCAUACCAGUAGGUCAUUUAUAAGAUAAAGAUGAAGCUUUUCCUGUAGGUCAUUCUAUGUUUACACAUGUGUUGUGUGGGCAAGAGUAAGAAGUUAUAGGAAAAAAUUGUGUAGCAACAAAUAAUACACUACACUUGAAAAUGCUUGUUUUGCCUUAUUAACAAAGAUAAAUCUAUAAAAAAGAAUCAUUUGGCUGAUUUAGUUGGUUGGGGAAUUCAUUUUUUCCCAGAGAAGUUACAUUAGGAUUCCAUCCAGUUCCUUAUAAU